AGCGAACGCUGGCGGCAGGCCUAACACAUGCAAGUCGAACGCACCUUCGGGUGAGUGGCGGACGGGUGAGUAACACGUGGGAACGUACCUUUUGGUUCGGAACAACACAGGGAAACUUGUGCUAAUACCGGAUGAGCCCUAUGGGGGAAAGAUUUAUCGCCGAAAGAGCGGCCCGCGUUAGAUUAGCUAGUUGGUGGGGUAAAGGCCCACCAAGGCUCCGAUCUAUAGCUGGUCUGAGAGGAUGAUCAGCCACACUGGGACUGAGACACGGCCCAGACUCCUACGGGAGGCAGCAGUGGGGAAUCUUGCGCAAUGGGCGAAAGCCUGACGCAGCCAUGCCGCGUGAAUGAUGAAGGUCUUAGGAUUGUAAAAUUCUUUUAGCAGGGACGAUAAUGACGGUACCUGCAGAAAAAGCCCCGGCUAACUUCGUGCCAGCAGCCGCCGUAAC
rnacentral:rRNA from 1 species